rnacentral:lncRNA from 1 species
CAAAGGCAUAACAACAGUAAAGAAUGACUGAGAAUAAAGAAUGACUAAGAAUAAAGAACGAAUAAUAAUAAACAAAGGUAAAUGAUAGAGAGUAGAGUCAAACAAUCUACUUGCAUGAGUUGCAUGAUUUGUAUAUUGCAUAUUGUGAAGUAUGAAUAUGAUAAAUGUUAGUUGCAUAAAUUAUAUAUCUGUGGAUAUUUGUUCGGCUAACAUGUUUGCAGUGU